rnacentral:lncRNA from 10 species
UAGGCACAACCAGCUUCAAAUAUCACGUCUAUGCAGAGGCCACAAGCCAGGGAACGUGAACAACCUCUAGAAGCUGAGAAUGACCCAGCUGACAGCCAGUAAAGAAAUGGGGACCUCAGUCCUACAAGAGCUUGAAACUAAAUUCUGCCAACAACCUGAAUGAGUAUGGAAGUAGAUUCUCUCCUAGAGCCUCCAGAAAGUAGCACAUCCCUGUCAACAACUUGAUUUCAGCCUUGGAAGACUAAGUGGAGAACCAACAGAACCAUGCUGUGCAUGGACUUCUAACCCAAAGAAACUCUGAGAUAAUCAACAGCCACUAAACGUAUGAUUUGACAGCUGAGGAACCACAGCUGAAGACAAAAGCUCUGACACUAAAGGGACACAAUGCCCAUCUUUUUCACGUAUUUCCAAAUGUUUUGUAAUUUCUUUGACAAGCAGAACAGUAUUCUGGUUUCCCCUACACAUCAUCCUUUGAUAUGAAGAAAUGGGCAGGAGAAAGACAGUGGAGCUGAAGAAAGGAGUAAUAAUUUAAAUAGUGCUUACUACAUGCCAAACACUGUUCUAAACAAAUUUCAUUCUAUUCUCCUAACAGCCCUUUGAAGUAGGGACUAUUAUUAUUCAUAUUAUUCAUAAGAAAACAGAGGCAUAGGGACGUUAAGUAACAUGCCCAAGGCCACACAGUUAGUAAAUAGCAGAGCUGAGCUUUGGACUCCACGAAGUCCAAACUGUUAACCACUAUCCAGGGCAGCUGCAUCCCCUCCUUUGGGUUUAAAGAAUAUGUUUCCAUAAGACAAGUGGAUACUAUAUGAUAGAGUUUGGAUGUGUGUCCUCACCCAAAUCUCAUGUUGAAAGGUAAUCCCCAAUGUUGGAAAUGGGGCCUGGUGGAAGGUGUUUGGGUCAUGAGGGUGGGUCCCUCAUGACUUGUGAUAGUGAGUCAUUUCUCAUGCAACCUGGUUGUUUAAAAGUGUGACACCCCUCAUGCCAGUAAUCCCAGCACUUUGGGAGGCCAAGGCAGGCAGAUCAGCUGAGGUCAGGAGUUUGAGACCAGCCUGGCCAACAUGAUGAAACCCCAUCUCUAUUAAAACUAGAAAAACUAGCGGGCCAUGGUGGCAGGUGCCUAAUCCCAGAUACUCAGGAGGCUGAAGCAGGAGAAUCGUUUGAACCCUGGAGGUUCUGGCUGCAGCGAGCCAAGAU